rnacentral:rRNA from 1 species
CGGCGUGCCUAACACAUGCAAGUCGAACGAAGCCUUUACACUGAUUUCCUUCGGGGAUGAAGGGUUUAUGACUGAGUGGCGGACGGGUGAGUAACGCGUGGGCAACCUGCCCCGUACCGGGGGACAACGGCCGGAAACGGCUGCUAAUACCGUAUACGUUUUAAGGACCGCAUGGUCCGUAAGACGAAACUCCGGUGGUACGGGAUGGGCCCGCGUCUGAUUAGCUCGUUGGCGGGGUAACGGCCCACCAAGGCGACGAUCAAUAGCCGGCCUGAGAGGGCGGCCGGCCACAUUGGGACUGAUACACUGCCCAAACUCCUGCGGGAGGCUACUGUGGGGAAUAUUGCACUCUGGGGGAAACCCUGAUGCAGCGACGCCGCGUGACGCGAGGAAUUACCUCUGUAUGUAAACCUCUGUCAGCUGGGAAGAAAAUGACAGUACCUGACCAAGAAGCCACGGCUAAUUACUUGCCAGCAGCCGCGGUAAUACGUAGGGGGCAAGCGUUAUCCUGAUUCAUUGGGGGUAAAGGGAGCGCAGGCGGCACGGCAAGUCUGAUGUGAAAACCUGGGGCUCAUCCCCUGCACUGCAUUGUAAACUACCGGCCUGGAGUGUCGGAGGGGUAGGCGGAAUUCUUGGUGUAGCGGUGAAAUGAUUAGUUAUCAGGAGGAACACCAGUGGCGAAGGCGGCUUCCUGGCCGACAACUAACGUUGAGGCUGCAAGGCGUGGG